UGCUGGCUUCCCAGCGAAGCAGGAUGAGGGAUGGGAAGGAGCCCUUACGGAGCCCCUUCCGUCUCUCAUCCUGCUUCGCUGGAAAGCCAGUGA
rnacentral:miRNA from 1 species